UGGGGAAUAUUGCACAAUGGGCGAAAGCCUGAUGCAGCAACGCCGCGUGAGUGAUGAAGGUCUUCGGAUUGUAAAGCUCUGUCUUUUGGGACGAUAAUGACGGUACCAAAGGAGGAAGCCACGGCUAACUACGUGCCAGCAGCCGCGGUAAUACGUAGGUGGCGAGCGUUGUCCGGAUUUACUGGGCGUAAAGGGUGCGUAGGCGGAUGUUUAAGUGAGAUGUGAAAUACCCGGGCUUAACUUGGGUGCUGCAUUUCAAACUGGAUAUCUAGAGUGCAGGAGAGGAGAAUGGAAUUCCUAGUGUAGCGGUGAAAUGCGUAGAGAUUAGGAAGAACACCAGUGGCGAAGGCGAUUCUCUGGACUGUAACUGACGCUGAGGCACGAAAAGCGUGGGUAGCAAACAGGAUUAGAUACCCUGGUAGUCCACGCCGUAAACGAUGAGUACUAGGUGUAGGAGGUAUCGACCCCUUCUGUGCCGCAGUAAAACACAUUAAGUACUCCGCCUGGG
rnacentral:rRNA from 1 species